rnacentral:rRNA from 1 species
AACGAACGCUGGCGGCAUGCCUUACACAUGCAAGUCGAACGGCAGCACGGGAGCAAUCCUGGUGGCGAGUGGCGAACGGGUGAGUAAUAUAUCGGAACGUGCCCGGUCGUGGGGGAUAACGCAGCGAAAGCUGUGCUAAUACCGCAUACGAUCUACGGAUGAAAGCGGGGGAUCGCAAGACCUCGCGCGAUUGGAGCGGCCGAUAUCAGAUUAGCUAGUUGGUGAGGUAAAGGCUCACCAAGGCGACGAUCUGUAGCUGGUCUGAGAGGACGACCAGCCACACUGGACUGAGACACGGUCCAGACUCCUACGGGAGGCAGCAGUGGGGAAUUUUGGACAAUGGGCGCAAGCCCGAUCCAGCAAUGCCGCGUGCAGGAUGAAGGCCUUCGGGUUGUAAACUGCUUUUGUACGGAACGAAACGGCGAGCUCUAAUACAGUUUGCUAAUGACGGUACCGUAAGAAUAAGCACCGGCUAACUACGUGCCAGCCGCCGCCGUAACAC